rnacentral:lncRNA from 1 species
CAGAAAUCACAUUUAUGGGCACACAACUACACACUCUGUCUCCCUCCUAGGAAACACGGAUAGACACAAUAUAAAAGCAAUCUUAAACUAACACCUCCAAAUCUCCAACUAUUCUUGGCCAAAACGCUAGUAUUCAACAACUAAUAAAACAGUUAUUUGCUAGGUUAUUUGGCUGUCAUUCUUAUCAGUAUCACUAGACUGUGACAAACUGAUUCACAUAUAAUUUAAAACAAUACAGCAACAUAAAUUAAACCACUUUCAAGUUAAAUUGCACACUGAUCACACAUUAUCACAAUCACCAUUUACACAGAAUAAACAGUUAACAGCUGUAUUCAGAACAUA